UACGGAGGGUGCAAGCGUUAUCCGGAUUCACUGGGCUUAAAGGGUGCGUAGGCGGCCCGGUAAGUCGGUGGUGAAAUCUCUGGGCUUAACUCAGAAACUGCCGUUGAUACUAUUUGUCUUGAAUAUCUUGGAGGUAAGCGGAAUAUGUCAUGUAGCGGUGAAAUGCUUAGAUAUGACAUAGAACACCGAUAGCGAAGGCAGCUUACUGGAGGAAGAUUGACGCUGAGGCACGAAAGCGUGGGGAGCAAACAGG
rnacentral:rRNA from 1 species